rnacentral:rRNA from 1 species
AUUGAACGCUGGCGGCAGGCCUAACACACGCAAGUCGAGCGGAUGAAGGGAGCUUGCUCCUGGAUUCAGCGGCGGACGGGUGAGUAAUGCCUAGGAAUCUGCCUGGUAGUGGGGGAUAACGUCCGGAAACGGGCGCUAAUACCGCAUACGUCCUGAGGGAGAAAGUGGGGGAUCUUCGGACCUCACGCUAUCAGAUGAGCCUAGGUCGGAUUAGCUAGUUGGUGGGGUAAAGGCCUACCAAGGCGACGAUCCGUAACUGGUCUGAGAGGAUGAUCAGUCACACUGGAACUGAGACACGGUCCAGACUCCUACGGGAGGCAGCAGUGGGGAAUAUUGGACAAUGGGCGAAAGCCUGAUCCAGCCAUGCCGCGUGUGUGAAGAAGGUCUUCGGAUUGUAAAGCACUUUAAGUUGGGAGGAAGGGCAGUAAGUUAAUACCUUGCUGUUUUGACGGUACCAACAGAAUAAGCACCGGCUAACUUCGUG